rnacentral:rRNA from 1 species
GAUAACGGCGUCGAGCGGCGGACGGGUGAGUAAUGCCUAGGAAAUUGCCCUGAUGUGGGGGAUAACCAUUGGAAACGAUGGCUAAUACCGCAUGAUGCCUACGGGCCAAAGAGGGGGACCUUCGGGCCUCUCGCGUCAGGAUAUGCCUAGGUGGGAUUAGCUAGUUGGUGAGGUAAGGGCUCACCAAGGCGACGAUCCCUAGCUGGUCUGAGAGGAUGAUCAGCCACACUGGAACUGAGACACGGUCCAGACUCCUACGGGAGGCAGCAGUGGGGAAUAUUGCACAAUGGGCGCAAGCCUGAUGCAGCCAUGCCGCGUGUGUGAAGAAGGCCUUCGGGUUGUAAAGCACUUUCAGUCGUGAGGAAGGUGGUGUAGUUAAUAGCUGCAUUAUUUGACGUUAGCGACAGAAGAAGCACCGGCUAACUCCGUGCCAGCAGCCGCGGUAAUACGGAGGGUGCGAGCGUUAAUCGGAAUUACUGGGCGUAAAGCGCAUGCAGGUGGUUUGUUAAGUCAGAUGUGAAAGCCCGGGGCUCAACCUCGGAAUAGCAUUUGAAACUGGCAGACUAGAGUACUGUAGAGGG